AGAGUUUUUUCCUGGCUCAGGACGAACGCUGGCGGCGUGCCUAACACAUGCAAGUCGAACGAGAAUUCGGGAAUUGAUUUCUUCGGAAUGAUAUUCCUGAAGGAAAGUGGCGGACGGGCGAGUAACGCGUGAGUAACCUGCCCAUAAGAGGGGGAUAAUCCUUGGAAACGAGGACUAAUACCGCAUAUUGCAGUUUUACCGCAUGGUUUAAUUGUGAAAGCUUUAGCGCUUAUGGAUGGACUCGCGUCAGAUUAGGUAGUUGGUGAGGUAACGGCUCACCAAGCCGACGAUCUGUAGCCGAACUGAGAGGUUGAUCGGCCGCAUUGGGACUGAGACACGGCCCAGACUCCUACGGGAGGCAGCAGUGGGGAAUAUUGCGCAAUGGGGGGAACCCUGACGCAGCAACGCCGCGUGCAGGAAGAAGGUCUUCGGAUUGUAAACUGUUGUCGCAAGGGAAGAAGACAGUGACGGUACCUUGUGAGAAAGUCACGGCUAACUACGUGCCAGCAGCCGCGGUAAUACGUAGGUGACAAGCGUUGUCCGGAUUUACUGGGUGUAAAGGGCGCGUAGGCGGGCUGUCAAGUCAGCCGUGAAAUGCCGGGGCUUAACCCCGGAGCUGCGGUUGAAACUGACAGUCUUGAGUAUCGGAGAGGAAAGCGGAAUUCCCAGUGUAGCGGUGAAAUGCGUAGAUAUUGGGAGGAACACCAGUGGCGAAGGCGGCUUUCUGGACGACAACUGACGCUCAGGCGCGAAAGUGUGGGGAGCAAACAGAAUGAGAUUCCCUGGGUAGUCCCCCCCGGUAAAAGAUAAAUACUAGGUGGGGGGGGACUGACCCCCUCCGUGCCGCAGUUUACACAAUAAGUUUUUCCACCUGGGGAGUACGGCCGCAAGGGUGAAACUCAAAGGAAUUGACGGGGGCCCGCACAAGCAAUGGAUUAUGUGGUUUAAUUUGAAGCAACGCGAAGAACCUUACCAGGGCUUGACAUCCAACUUACGAGGCAGAGAUGCGUUAGGUGCCCUUCGGGGAAAGUUGAGACAGGUGCUGCAUGGUUGUUGUCAGCUCGUGCCGGGAGGUGUUGGCUUAAGUGCCAUAACGAGCGCAACCCCUACCGACAGUUGCCAUCAGGUAACGCUGGGGACUCCGUUGGGACUGCCGUUGUAAGAUGUGAGGAAAGUGGGGAUGACGUCAAAUCAGCACGGCCCUUACGUCCGGGGCUACACACGUGUUACAAUGGGGGGUACAGCAGGCAGCUACCGGGCGACCGGAUGCGAAUCCCGAAAUCCCCUUUCAGUUUGGACUAGAAUUUGCAACCCGACUCCCCGAAGCUGGAUUCGGUAGUAAUCGCGCAUCAGCCACGACGCGGUGAAUACGAAAGCGGGCCUUGCGCACGCCGCCCGUCA
rnacentral:rRNA from 1 species